GUCGCAGUAGCUCAGCUGGAUAGAGCAUUCGCCUUCUAAGCGAACGGUCAGGGGUUCGAAUCCCUUCUGCGACG
rfam:Enterococcus sp. 6C8_DIV0013 scaffold00001, whole genome shotgun sequence.